rnacentral:rRNA from 1 species
GAUGAACGCUGGCGGCGUGCUUAACACAUGCAAGUCGAACGAUGAAGCCCAGCUUGCUGGGUGGAUUAGUGGCGAACGGGUGAGUAACACGUGAGUAACCUGCCCUUGACUCUAGGAUAAGCCCGGGAAACUGGGUCUAAUACUGGAUAGGAACGUCUACCGCAUGGUGGGUGUUGGAAAGAAUUUCGGUCAUGGAUGGACUCGCGGCCUAUCAGCUUGUUGGUGAGGUAAAGGCUCACCAAGGCGACGACGGGUAGCCGGCCUGAGAGGGUGACCGGCCACACUGGGACUGAGACACGGCCCAGACUCCUACGGGAGGCAGCAGUGGGGAAUAUUGCACAAUGGGCGAAAGCCUGAUGCAGCGACGCCGCGUGAGGGAUGACGGCCUUCGGGUUGUAAACCUCUUUCAGUAGGGAAGAAGCGAAAGUGACGGUACCUGCAGAAGAAGCACCGGCUAACUACGUG